rnacentral:rRNA from 1 species
CACGAACGCUGGCGGCAGGCUUAACACAUGCAAGUCGAGCGCCCCGCAAGGGGAGCGGCAGACGGGUGAGUAACGCGGGGGAAUCUACCCAUCUCUACGGAAUAACGCAUGGAAACGUGUGCUAAUACCGUAUACGUCCUUCCGGAGAAAGAUUUAUCGGAGAUGGAUGAGACCGCGUUGGAUUAGCUAGUUGGUGGGGUAAAGGCCUACCAAGGCGACGAUCCAUAGCUGGUCUGAGAGGAUGAUCAGCCACACUGGGACUGAGACACGGCCCAGACUCCUACGGGUGGCAGCAGUGGGGAAUAUUGGACAAUGGGCGCAAGCCUGAUCCAGCCAUGCCGCGUGAGUGAUGAAGGCCCUAGGGUUGUAAAGCUCUUUCACCGGUGAAGAUAAUGACGGUAACCGGAGAAGAAGCCCCGGCUAACUUCGUGCCAGCCGCCGCGGUAAGAC